UGAAGACAGAAGACAGGAGAGUGGCACCCUGGAGCCAAGGAGUGCCAGAGACAGCCGUAAGCCACCAGCAGCUGGGGAGAGACUGGGCAGACUCCCCACCAUCCUUGAUGUCCACAGCUGCUCUCCAGAACCUCAAAACCACAAAUCUGCACUAUGGUAAGCCACCUGGUCUGCGGUGCCUUGCAGUGGCCGUCCUAGGGAACGACCCGUCCUUGCCUGUCCUGAGAUUGUGGGUCUGCACUUCUCCCAGUCCACUGCUUUCUGCUCUUGUGUUUGAGACUUUAUUCAGGGGUCCCCCUGGUACACUUCCCCUGUCAUCAUCCUCAGUCCCUCUUCAUCCCUGGAGGACUCUUGCCAGGUGUGCUAUGCCCCUCACUCAUGGCCAGUCCUGUAUCCUUUCAUGGGCAUUUCUGUGGGGACACAUCCAUCCUUCCUUGGGACCUCCUUGUCAUUACUUGCAUGAGGCCUUCCUGUAGUUGGGUCCUGGUUUAUAUGGUGCUGAGGAUGGAACCCAGUGCCUCACGUGCUAGGCAAGUGCUCUGCCACUGAGCUGCAGCCCCAGCCCUGAUGUUGUGAUUAUUGAUAUGGUUAGAUUUCAGUUUACCAUUUCACAUUUGUUUUCUGAUGGUUCUCUGGUCUGUUCCUCUGUUUGCUUUUUCCUGUUUGCAAUGCUGUAGUUUUCUGAGCAUUUUUGGUAUUCCAUUUUAGUUUUGCUCUUCUGACUUUACCUAUACCUCUUUGCAUAAUGCUUGUCGUGUUGUCCUAAGGAUCAAAAUGCAUACUGUGCUUUUACAGGCUGCUUUAAUCAGGAUGUGGGGUCCUUCCACCGUGUUCCCAGUAGUGCUGCCUUUUCCCGGCUGCCAGCAUCUUUCUUAGCGCCUGUGCAGGGCUCAGUGCCUGCCCGCUCACCCUUUGUGUCAGGCCCCUUGGGCCUGCUGGCAGCAGACUCUUGUGUUUCCUUCUAUUGAUGGAUUUAUUUCACCUUUAUUUGUGAAGGACACUUUCAAGAUAGAGUUCAGGCUGUCAGACCCCCACCCUGCCCAGCAUGUUAAGGUUGUGCUCUUCCUGUGACCUCCGUGGUCCUGAGGAGAGACCCACCGUUGUUCAGCGCACUGCCUGGAGGCCACUGCUGGUGGGCUUGCCUUCAGAGUUAGCCUUCAGCAGUUUGUUAAUGGGGAUCCCCGAGUGGAUUUCUUUGGGUUUAUUCUGUUGUAGGUUCACUUGGUUCUCGAAAGUAGCUUCACACUCUCACUGUGCCUGGGAAGCUAGCAGCCAGUAUUUUUGCACAGCACUCCUGCUCUGGUUAUUGUCCCCCCAGGUCCCCGGCUGUGGUUUGGUUCCGCCUUGUUUCAGCUGGGUGAUGCUAGUCGAUGCGGACAGGUGCACCUACAUGCUGUGCUGCAUCUGGACGACUCAAAAGAGUCUGGUCGUUUGAGUUUUGAUUGCUUUUUUUGUAGAGUCCACCAUUUCUGUGUAGAACUUUUGCUUCUCUGUUGUCUUGCUCAUGCUAUGUCUCUGCAUCCAUCGUGGUGCUGUGGUUGCUGCUCACACUUGUGGACUAUCUCACAUCUGUCUUCUCAUCUCAGCUGCUGUGCAGACUUUCCUUGCCAGGGGACAUUUUCACUGUUCUUCAUGUGUUGGGCAAUUCUGGAUUGUCUUCAAGAUGUUCUAAGCUUCCUGAGAGCUAGACUUGUCCCACCUUGUGUAAAUGCUGUCAUCUAGCAGGCCUCUGCUCUCGAGGUCCUCUCUGGGCUUGAAGCUGCCAGCGGGCUGUCGGACCUGAUUGUGACAAUCACUCUGCAGUAGGGGCCGAGCCUUGUGUUC
rnacentral:lncRNA from 1 species